UUAAGUCCCGCAACGAGCGCAACCCCUAUGUUUAGUUGCCAGCACGUAAUGGUGGGGACUCUAGACAGACUGCCUGCGCAAGCAGAGAGGAAGGAGGGGACGACGUCAAGUCAUCAUGGCCCUUAGCCCAGGGCGACACACGUGCUACAAUGGCGCAUACAGCGGGUAGCUACCUGGUAACAGGAUGCCAACCUCUAAAAGUGCGUCUCAGUUCGGAUCGGGGUCUGCAACUCGACCCCGUGAAGCUGGAAUCGCUAGUAAUCGCGCAUCAGCCAUGGCGCGGUGAAUACGUUCCCGGACCUU
rnacentral:rRNA from 1 species